CGCGUAGGCGGGCUGCCAAGUCAGGGGUGAAAACUUUCGCUCAACCGGAAAACGUAGCUUCUGAUACUGGCAGUCUCGAGGGAGGUAGGGGUCGGUGGAACUAAUGGUGGAGCGGUGAAAUGCGUAGAUAUCAUUAGGAACGCCGGUGGCGAAAGCGACCGACUGGACCUCUUCUGACGCUGAGGCGCGAAAGCCAGGGGAGAGAACG
rnacentral:rRNA from 1 species